CGCCGCUUAUCCACAAAAAAAAAAAAAAAAAAAACGCAGACCCUAAAACCCAAAUCGACUCAAACUUGUGAUUCUUCGCUGCACCUCCAUAUACACACAGAUCGAAAUUGAGAGGCGAUGAAAGAGAGAGAGAGACGACGAGGAAACAGUGAAAGAAGCAGAGAAAGAGAGAUGGAAAUAGAGGGAGGCGAUGAGGUCUGGGACACGAAGAGAGAAACUGAGAAGAGAAAGAGGCAAAACACGAUUACUGUCAGAUUUUCCGCCGCCAUCCGUUCCCUCGCCAGACUCAAAACACCAAAACCGCAGGCACACACAGGAAUUGAGAUUGAGGAAGAGAAAUCUAAGUGCCAUUAACUCCGUUCAGGCCAUUUACCUGCCAUCAUCAGAUCGUCGAAACUGCCACCGAUCAAGCAUAGAUUGUUUCAUUAGCUUCGAAAUUCCUAUCCACAAUCCAUCUUUUCUGAAUAGCAAAGAGUAGAUGAGAGAAUCAAAAGCGUGUCCAACAAAAGUUACUAGAAGAUCUAGGAAGCAAAAAACUCAUUCCAAGUUCGUUGUAUUGGACAAGGGAACCGAAAUCUAUUCUAAUUUAAAAGAGAUCAGUGACUCAAAUAUGUUGGCGCCACACCAAAUCCAAGAUAAGGUUCUGAAGGAUGGCUAGAAGAAGAACGAGAAGACUAUAUCUAGGCCGACAACUGUUCACAGCUGCUUAUGCUUCACUGUCAUCAUUCUUUUGAACCCUUGGAAGGGUGAGCUUCAGUAAUUUGAAAUAAAAUGAUUUAGAAAGAAGAUAAAGUUUUUCACUUACCAAAAAAAAGGAAAGAAGAUAAGGUUUUAGUCAAUAGGCUUUCUAUGUUGCUCCUAUGGUCAUAAGGCUAAUCUUCAUUUUCCAGUAUUCAAACUAACAUUAUUGUUGCUGUGUGCUGCUAUACUAAGGCUUGGUGCUGCUGUUUGUGAAAUUUUUUUGUUGUUGUUGUACAUGCUAAUAUGCAUUAUGCUUCUAUUGUACUUAGUGUUAGCUGUAUUGUGAUAAUUGGUAAUUGUUGGCAUUGUACUAGGAAUUGAUGCAGAGUCCAGGAUGUUUUGGUAGUUAUUGGCAGAUUCUUAAAAAAGCACUUAGUGAGAAAUAUUAACAUAGGUUGUGUUUGUUUGCUUCAUGUUAAUAGAAGGUUGCAAGGAAAUUCAAAUGUUAAUAAAAAGUUGGCCUCUUAAGAGUGUGCCACCUCAGCUUUGGAGUCUUCAUAAUUUUACACCUCAACAAUAUUUUUAAUUUUUAUUUUUAGCACGGUAUUUUAGUUAAAUAUUUUACUUAGUUUGAACUUAGAACUACUUUGAACCCGAUAAUGCACUCCCCCUCUCUCUAUCUCUGUAACCUUAAUAGGCUAUGGCUGCUACCGUGAUUUCAAAUAUCUCUAAUAGCAACCUCUGAGGACAACCAUCCAAAGGCAAGAUGGAAUGUGGGUACCGCUGCAAGUGUUGCCUCGAAAAGAAAUGACUGCAGUUGAUUCAAAUGCUCUAGCUACUUCUUGCAGUGCACACAAGAUUGAGACCGCUGCAAGUGUUGCCUUGAAAAGAAAAGACUGCAGUUGAUUCAAAUGCUCCAGCUACUGCUUGCAGUGCACACAAGAUUGAGACAGGGCUGAUGAAUUACUUUAUAUGUAAUAACAUUAUAACCUUAUUUCACAAAGA